AGUGAACGCUGGCGGUAGGCCUAACACAUGCAAGUCGAACGGCAGCACAGUAAGAGCUUGCUCUUACGGGUGUCGAGUGGCGGACGGGUGAGGAAUACAUCGGAAUCUACUUUUUCGUGGGUGAUAACGUAGGGAAACUUACGCUAAUACCGCAUACGACCUACGGGUGAAAGCAGGGGAUCUUCGGACCUUUCGCGAUUGAAUGAGCCGAUGUCGGAUUAGCUAGUUGGCGGGGUAAAGGCCCACCAAGGCGACGAUCCGUAGCUGGUCUGAGAGGAUGAUCAGCCACACUGGAGCUGAGACACGGUCCAGACUCCUACGGGAGGAAGCAGUGGGGAAUAUUGGACAAUGGGCGCAAGCCUGAUCCAGCAAUACCGCGUGGGUGAAGAAGGACUUCGGGUUGUAAAGCCAUGUUGUUGGGAAAGAAAAGCAGCAGGUUAAUACCCCGCUGUUAUGACGGUACCCAAAGAAUAAGCACCGGCUAACUUCGUG
rnacentral:rRNA from 1 species